UGAGAUGUAGCUCAAUGGUACAGUACUUGCCUAGCAUGUGUGAGAACAUGGGUUGGGUUCAAUCCCCAGCAUUUCAA
rnacentral:tRNA from 1 species